AGAGUUUGAUCCUGGCUCAGGAUGAACGCUGGCGGCGUGCCUAACACAUGCAAGUCGAGCGAGAUUUAGUGKAGUGGAGACUUCGGUCAAAGUGAARCURAUGAAAGCGGCGGACGGGUGAGUAACGCGUGGGCAACCUGCCCCAUACAAAGGGAUAGCCACUGGAAACGGUGAUUAAUACCUUAUAAGUCGGUAGUCUCGCAUGAGACAGCCGACAAAGAUUUAUCGGUAUGGGAUGGGCCCGCGUUUGAUUAGCUAGUUGGUGAGGUAACGGCUYACCAAGGCKACGAUSWMUAGSSGWYCUGAGAGGRUGAUCCCCCACACUGGUACUGAGACACGGACCAGACUCCUACGGGAGGCAGCAGUGAGGAAUAUUGGUCAAUGGGCGCAAGCCUGAACCAGCCAUCCCGCGUGCAGGAUGAAGGCCCUAUGGGUCGUAAACUGCUUUUAUACACCAAGAAAAACACCCACGUGUGGGUGCCCGACGGUAGUGUAUGAAUAAGCAUCGGCUAACUCCGUGCCAGCAGCCGCGGUAAUACGGAGGAUGCAAGCGUUAUCCGGAUUCAUUGGGUUUAAAGGGUGCGUAGGCGGCUUUUUAAGUCAGUGGUGAAAUCUUGCCGCUUAACGGUAAAAUUGCCAUUGAUACUGAWAAGCUUGAGUMCARUUGAGGUAAGCGGAAUGUGUAGUGUAGCGGUGAAAUGCUUAGAUAUUACACAGAACACCGAUUGCGAAGGCAGCKUACUAAACUGKUACUGACGCUGAUGCACGAAAGCGUGGGGAGCGAACAGGAUUAGAUACCCUGGUAGUCC
rnacentral:rRNA from 1 species